CGGGCACUGAGUUACAGCUUGUAACUGUUGUACUUUCCUCUCUGUUUCUGGCACAGGAAGGCUCAAAGAUAUCUACAUGUAACACCCCAAGUUUAAAUUGGUAAACUUUGUGUCCAGUAUGAGAAGGAAAGAGUGAAACCUGCUCAGAGAUUUAAACGGUUACCUAUACAAAUAACACAUUUUAAGAAGUCAAGCCCCAAGGAACUGUUAGGUGGAAAUAUAUUGCCAGGACUGGUUGUGGAAUUGUCAUCCCUGGAGCUUCAGCUGUCCAAAGUCAUGUUUGAGUGUCACUUUUGUCCUGAGGCUGGACAGGGAUCCUCUCUGGCCUGCAUUUCAAGUUUUUAUAGUAGUUGGU
rnacentral:lncRNA from 1 species